CUGUAUGCUAAUACGGGAAACGGAAAGCAGCCUAGGAAGCAGGGUGUGCUCGUGACAGCAGGCAGGGAAGCUGGGUGCAGUGCUCCAACCCCAUCCACCACCUCCCAGAGCAGCCUGAGCGUGUAGGCAUGCCACGGCAGCUUUACAUCGCUGCACUUGCUCCUGGUUUAGAAAAUCAAGCUAAAGAUUUCCUACUGCCUCAGUGAGAGGUGUGCGAUGGGAGUGUGGGUGAGGCAGAGCCCCGUUGAGAUGAACUGUGACGCACUGCUUCCGUGGGAGAUGCAGACAGAGCGGUGCCUGGGCACCAGCAGUGCAGCGCUGUGGGAGCGGGGCUCUGCCCGGCUCUCCUCCUGCUGACACCGGCACAGCAGAAGCUGAUUGCGUGUCACACAGCCAGGGUAUGAACAAGAUCUCAGACAAUAAAAGGGCAGAGCGAGGACCCUGCAGGAGGAAGGCCGACGCGGUUCUAUUCCCAGAUGUUCAACAGAGGCAUUUUCUGCUGCUUCAGAUGUAAAGGUCAGAGGAGAAAAGAUAACCGAAUCCCCUUGUAAACCUCGCCAGUUCAACACCACGGUUUGGAAGCUGGCAGAACACUGUCCCAAUUUGCCACAGAGGGUUUCAGGAGUCGAUGUGUAACGGUGGGGGUUGCCACAUGCCCUGAGCAUGCAGACAAGAACCUGCGUGCCCAAUUCCAUCGCUGCCUCCUUCACUGUGCCUUGACUUUGGAUGGGCCAAAAGUGACUUCUCCAUUCUCACCCUCAUCUUGUUCUCUUGUAAAAUGAACUCUAAUUAAUAAAUGUCAGCUUGAGAUCUUCAGACAGAAGACAGUAAAGAUCUAUAAGGUGCCAUUAA